AAUAAGCACCGGCUAACUACGUGCCAGCAGCCGCGGUAAUACGUAGGGUGCAAGCGUUAAUCGGAAUUACUGGGCGUAAAGCGUGCGCAGGCGGUUUGUUAAGACAGAGGUGAAAUACCCGGGCUCAACCUGGGAACUGCCUUUGUGACUGCAAGGCUAGAGUACGGCAGAGGGGGAGUGGAAUUCCGCGUGUAGCAGUGAAAUGCGUAGAUAUGCGGAGGAACACCGAUGGCGAAGGCAAUCCCCUGGGCCUGUACUGACGCUCAUGCACGAAAGCGUGGGGAGCAAACAGGAUUAGAUACCCUGGUAG
rnacentral:rRNA from 1 species